rnacentral:rRNA from 1 species
AACGAGGAUUUAACGGAAUGCGAUUCGUCAAAUGAAAUUAAAUCCGAGUGGCGGACGGGUGAGUAACGCGUGGAUAACCUGCCUCACACAGGGGGACAACAGCCGGAAACGGCUGCUAAUACCGCAUAACACAAGCAAUUCGCAUGAAUAGCUUGCCAAAGAUUUUAUCGGUGUGAGAUGGAUCCGCGUCUGAUUAGCCAGUUGGCGGGGUAACGGCCCACCAAAGCGACGAUCAGUAGCCGACCUGAGAGGGUGAUCGGCCACAUUGGGACUGAGACACGGCCCAAACUCCUACGGGAGGCAGCAGUGGGGAAUAUUGCACAAUGGGCGAAAGCCUGAUGCAGCGACGCCGCGUGAAGGAUGAAGUAUUUCGGUAUGUAAACUUCUAUCAGCAGGGAAGAAAAUGACGGUACCUGACUAAGAAGCCCCGGCUAACUACGUGCCAGCAGCCGCGGUAAUACGUAGGGGGCAAGCGUUAUCCGGAUUUACUGGGUGUAAAGGGAGCGUAGAUGGCAUGGCAAGUCUGAAGUGAAAGCCCGGGGCUUAACCCCGGGACUGCUUUGGAAACUGUUAAGCUAGAGUGCAGGAGAGGUAAGCGGAAUUCCUAGUGUAGCGGUGAAAUGCGUAGAUAUUAGGAGGAACACCGGUGGCGAAGGCGGCUUACUGGACUGUAACUGACAUUGAGGCUCGAAAGCGUGGGG